rnacentral:misc_RNA from 1 species
GUAGGUGAACCUGCGGAAGGAUCAUUAACACGUAUCCACGUAUCAACCCCUCUGUGAAAACCUAUCUCUUGUAAGGCUUGGUCUUAGUGUGCUGUUCGCAUGAAGUCCUAAUGAUGGAGGCUCUUCGGAGCCUAGGGCUUGAAUAGCAUGUGUUUGACGUCCGGCCGCCACUUUUCCAUCGUUGGUCCUUUACAAACUUUUAACCCCUUUGUACUCUUUGUACCGAACCAAUUCUUCGACGCUCUUUUAG